AUUGAACGAUGGCGGCAGGCCUAACACAUACAAGUCGAGCGGAGCGGCGGACGGGUGAGUAAUGCAUAGGAAUCUGACUGGUAGUGGGGGAUAACGUCCGGAAACGGGAGCUAAUACCGCAUACUAUCAGAUGAGCCUAGGUCGGAUUAGCUAGUUGGAGGGGUAAAUGCCUACCAAGGCGACGAUCCGUAAGUGGUCUGAGAGGAUGAUCAGUCACACUGGAACUGAUACACGGUCCAGACUCCUACGGGAGUCAGCAGUGGGGAAUAUUGGACAUUGGGCGAAAGCCUGAUCCAGCCCUGCCGCGUGUGUGAAGCAGUUCUUCGGAUUGUAAAGCGCUUUAAGUUGGGAGGCGUUACCAACAGGAUAAGCACCGGCUAACUUCGUGCCAGCAGCCGCGGUAAUUC
rnacentral:rRNA from 1 species